rnacentral:lncRNA from 1 species
AGGGCGCGCAGGCGGCGCGGGUGCGCGGUGCGGCGCUGGUAUCCAGAGGACGCGGUCACCGCCUCUGGCAUUUGUCGUUCUGCGCUUCUCCGCAAGGACCCUCUGUUAGGCAGGCGCCCACCGUAAGCCUCCCGGGCCUUGUGAACCUGCAAACCCAAGUCUGAGAGACGAUCCGCCUUCAGCGCUUUCCAGCUUGGCAGAGAGGCUUUCCCGGCGGGGAUCUUUGGUUGGCGCUGGCGAUGCGCGGGGAAGAAAGGCGAGGAGCGGCGUCCAGGCUGGGUGAUGUCCCAGCACGAGUAGGCGGGAUGCGCUCGCUUGGUCCUCCGGGCGCCCGGUCCCUGCCCGCGUCGCGCGCCCACCCCUGGGGACGAGAAGGCGGCCGCCUGAGGACCCCCGCCCGCGACCUCCGCGAGUCUGGAGCGCAGAGGACAGGGUCUGGCUGCUCUUUGGCCUUGGAUGGAAAGUGGGGAAUUGGGUGGGGGGCUGCGGACCCCUUAACGUGGAUUACUUGGUGUGUAUCAGCUGGGCUCAGAAGACCCACGACCUCUUCUCCAUCCGUGGAUUGAUUUGUUCUGCUUAACAGCUGGGUCGCCAAGCUGGAGGUGGAAUCAGAGGUUUCUGGCUGACUCGGUGGGUGCUUUGAACCAGGAAAGGACAAGAAAGAGAAGAUCAGGUUCAAGUUGCCAGCCAGACUCUGGGCUUCCAGGAGGAGUGGGCUGUGGAUGGCCUGGCCUCAUUUGCAUGUCCCUCUCCUCCCGGCCCUGCAGGUGCCACCUCCUGAGUCCUGGUUCCUGCGGCUCCGUCGAAUCUGCAGUGAAGGCCUUUGGGAAGCGUGGGUUAUGUGGGUCCAGGGGUCCCAUCCUCCCGUGGAGGCCCUUGACCUGAGGAUCACUAACUCACACCCCACCGACUUCCGGCCCCCAACAAGGGCAGUGUUCCUCUUGCUCCAUUCUGCUCUGAAGUCCCCCAAACCGCUUCCUGGGGCUGCUUAGUGAAAUACAAGGCUCAUCUCUGAGGACCUCUACAGGGCUGGAUGGGAAGGACUGAUCCACAUUCCCACCAGGAAGUUUAGCAGAACCCCCGCGUGCCACCUGGACCCCUUGGAAGGACCUGGCUCAGGCUGGACCACCUCUUGAGAGGCAGGAGCUCUGGAUUUGAUCAAGAAUUCUUUGCUGAGCAUGGUGCCUCAUGCCUAUAAUCCCAACACUUUGGGAGGCCAGUGUGGGAGGAUCUCUUGAGCCCAGGAGUUCAAGACUAGCCUGGGCAACACAGAGAGACCCCAUCUCUAAAAUAAUAAUAAUAAUAAAAUAAAAAAUUAGCAGGGCAUGGUGGCAUGUGCCUGUAGUCCCAGCUACCCAGGAGGCUGAGGCAAGAGGAUGGCUGGAGCCUGGGAUGUUGAGGCUGCAAUGAACUGUGAUUACCCCACUGCACUCCAGCCUGGGCAAAAGAGCGAGAGACCCUGUCUCAAAUAAUAAUAAUAAUAAUAAUCUUAUUUUGGAGAAUAAAGAGACCUCUGGAUUUGAGGUGCCAUUUGGGUAGAAAGAAAAGACGUUUACACCGAGAAAUAGUCUGUGUUGCCCUGAAGGAGCAGAGGGAUGCAUCGCUGGAGGUGACCUACAGUUGAAGAAGACUCAUUAUGACAGACCUUGUCCUUCUUCCUUGUGGAAAGUGUUUCCUCUGCUGCUACUGCUCAUGAGACUCUUCCCCCUCCCUGUCCCAGGGAACCAAAGGGCUUUCUACCACACCCUUUCUUGCCCCCCGCCUCCCAUGUCUGCUGUGCCUUUGUACUCAGCAAUUCUUGUUUGCUCCAUUAUCUUCCAGCCGGAUACAGAGUGAAUAGUUAACCACACUUAGGUCAAAUAGGAUCUAAAUUUUUGUUCCUGCUCCGUGUAAAGAGGCCAGUGUUUGUGUGUUGCAAGCAGCCUUGGAAUAGUAACUCUUCUCAUUUGUUUGGGAUCUGGCCACCAAGUUCCAGAAUGAUACACGGAUCAGUGCAGAAGUUCAUCAGGCUCUCGGACCUUAGGGCUGUUGGAGAAGGCUUCAGCAGCAGAACUGAUGGUGAAGGCUCGUGUUCUCCAUCCUCAACUUUCUUUGCUUCGAUCAUACACAAGAAUACAUUUGGAAGGGCAAAAAAUGAACACUGUCGUUCAUUGCAGCCGUGUUUUGUGACACAGAUGCACAGUCUGCUGUGAAGACCUUCUCUCAAGUGGCAUUUGGGAGUCCAUGCCAGAUCAUGGUGCUUCAUGAGAGACUGACAGCUAUCAGGGGUUGUGGCACUUAGUGAGGACUCUCCUCCCCCAGUGUGUGCUGAUGACACAUACACACCUGACAAUAGCUUGAGUCUUCUCUGUUCCUUUUACUCUGUAGCCAACAUACACAUGAUUUAAAACCCUUUCUAAAUAUCUAUCAUGGUUCAUCCUUGUCCAAAUGCAGAGUCAGAGCUAUUUGUACUUCAUUAUUAUUUCCAAGGCGAAUAGUUGGCUUUCUUUUUGCAAAAAUAAUUAAAGUUUUUGUAUGUUGCAGUUGCAAAAAAAAAAAAAAAAAA